rnacentral:lncRNA from 1 species
AUUUCAAGAAGAAAGGGCGUUUGCUAGUUAGAUUGAAAAAAAAAAAAUCUGGUCCUAUUUGAAAUCCUUUUGUGAAAUGCUCAGAAUGACCUGGCAGAUAAUGAGUGACUAUGUAAAAUACAGUUAAUUGUUUGAAAUACGAAAAUUAUUUUAAAAUCUUAUUUAAUGCUAAUAGAUCAUUUUUCACGAGGGCCUCCUUUUCAACUGAACCAUUGUCUAGAAAAAUGUCACAGAUUUCAUAGUCGAUAAGCUUUAAUACAUAUGUUUGGAGUAGCGAUGAACAGCUAAUGGGUUCAUUAUUCACGACAAUUGUACAAGCACUGUUUUCGUCGUCAUCAUCCUCUAUAGACGUUAGCUAAUUUAUCCGCGGUAGGGCUCCUGAGCAGUGCAGUGUUGUUUCUGUUGUUGGGCAGACAGAGGAAUUAAUGCAAGGUGAAAGGCCGUGAUUCUCCAAGGUUCUAUUUCUGACCACUGAUCCCGCUGAAAUAUCAAAGACAAACUGUUGACAGUGAGCCAACAGAAAGGCAAAACGUUUGCCAGUUUGAUUGGAAAGUGUUGCUGGUGUUUACUUACCCAGAAGCCUUAAACGAAGCAGGGAUCUGGAAACAACGAAGAGCCCCACAUGCAUUUCCACUUUACUGCUCCAGCUACAACGCCAGACUCUCCGCCACCUGUGGAUAGCACCAGGGAGCUCCCCAUAUCCUUCCCUCCAGGGAGACAAAGCCAACUUUGCUUUUCUUAGAGCUCGCUCUUCUUCUUCUACCCAGAUCAUAAGGGGACCUCCUCAAAGUGAGCAUUUUCACCGUCAGGCCGGUUUGCAAUUCUCUCUCUCUCCAGCAAACAAUCUUUAGUCGCUUGUCCCUGUGACCCAGCAUGUGAAUCUUUUUUGGUCAAAUGCAUUCAUGGCUAUGGAAGAAGAGCUGGCCAGCUUCCUAGCUUCCUAGAAGCAGCAACACGUCACUGCCUUUUCUUCGUGAUCGUUUUUUGCACAUUUUUAUUUGGUUUGCCUAAAAGUGAUACAGAUGAAAUUAACCAGAAGUUAAUCUUAGAGGAUCUGGUAGCGCCACAGAUAGGCUAUUAAGAUUGUGGAACUCUUGAUCCCGCAAGGACCCAAAUCUUUCUUUUGGAGUUUUCCUGUGUUGGCUAAUUCAGCUUCAGAGUAAAGAGUCUUGAGUAGGCUGUGGAGGUUUGUACGGUUCCGGCACUUACUAAUUAUAUAAAUUUGGAAACUUGGGCAAAUCGUUUUGUUUCUUUAAAUUUUAGUUUCAUCAUCUAUAAAAUAGAAGUAAUCCAAGUGAAGUACUUAAUAAUGUCUACCUGAUAUCAAGCAUUAAAAAAUUGUGACUACUAUCUAUCAUUUCAUAGCAAUCAUAAUUUGAUAAGAAUGUAUAAAUGCAUAAAGGAAAUGUAUAAAAAGAAAUUGGAUCUUUUUAUCAGGAUAACAGAUUCCUUUGAAUUUUUUGGAAAAUGUUCAUAAUUUGUUUUAUUUGCUACUCCUAGAAAGAAAAUAUAACCUUCCUUAAGUACAAACAACUGGCUUGCCUAAGAUUUCCUAGAACCAUUUGAAUUUUGUGACCAAAAGCAAACUAGCUUUAUGCUACGUCUGCUUAUUCUUAUUUCCUUUUCUGAAAUUCCCCUUCAAAAAACCACUGACACUUCCUUAUAUUGUCCCUCCAAUCUUUCAAGCCAUCCCCGUGGCUGACCCUGGACUUUGUCACCAUGCCCUUUCUGCCAUUUCCUUAUAAUCCACAUAAUUUCUGGAAGCUGGAUGAAGAUAAAAAUGGAGCAGGUCUGUCCACAAGAGAUUAUAACAAUGAUUGUGGUGGAGAGGGCACCGAGGGGAGAAAUAGUUCAUCUGGAUCCUGGCAGAGGAGAGAAGGUCUUCAAAAGAUGAGUGCCCUGUAUUUAGCUUAAUUUUCUUUGGCUUUUCUUCUUAGGAACAAUUCUGGUCUGAAUUAUUUCUCUUGAGAUGGUGUCAACAGAGAGGCACAGCGGUUGCGAAACUUUUAUUAACUCUGGCACAGUCCCGUCCACAGGACACAAAACUUUUUCAAAGCUGGGAAGCAGUCGGUGGUUGGAAAAAAUAGAGAUGUGAGCAGUGGGAGGAGAGGGGAGCAGGCGGGGGUAUCGACGGGCCUCAGGAAGCUAAGUGGAGGCAUCUCGAAGUGUCCUCUUUCAGGGCAGCACUGGCAGAGCCCGGGACCUUGGGCUCAACAUAAGGGUUGGGAAGUGAUGAAUGUUCUCCAUAAAAAUAUAUGAGGAAGUUAAUCUUUUUGUUCAUAAAAGAAAGAAUACAGAGAAGCUGAGGUGGGCGAGGCUGGGAACUUGAGGGCAAGACAAAUGACUUUUAAGAAUAGAAAUGUCUAGUAUUCAAUUCUAGAUUUUUGGUGAAGAUGCAAAGCAAAUCUUUUCCUUUCCUUUCACACCUCUACAAAACUUUAGUAAAGUCUGCGACCCACACAGGGGCUCUUUUAUGUCUAGAAAUCAAGGGAAAGACCUGAGGUCAGUGUGUGAGUUAGUGUGGAACAGGAAACACUGAUUCAUCAAAGCCAAGAAGCUGGAACCUGAAGAAUCCAUGAGAACCAAAGUUCCAGAGGAAGUCACAAGAAUCUUAAGAAAGGCAAUGGAUUUUCUCUGGGUUGUUGUUUAGAGACUGAGAUCAAUCUUAUAAUAAUCUCAAUGGGGCAGCAUGACCCCAGAGGGCAGCUGAUGGUGAGUCCAAGGCCCUGACUGGAUUUGAAGCCUGCCUCAGCCAUAUUCUAGCUAGUUAAUAUGAAGAAGGUACAACUUGGCUUCUUCAUCAGUAAAGAGGGAAUAAUAUUUUUGUAAUAAUUGAUUCGGGGUUACCAAUGAAUACUAAAGUAGUUAGGUGAAGCAUUGUUGAAGAAACAGAAAUUCUAAAAGUAGCACCCCGCAUAUUACUUUUGAAUUAUAAGGGAAAAUGUGUCUUUCCAAUUGAGAAAUGGCAAGUGAUCGUGUAACUGAGACGUAUACAAGAGAUCAAACUGAAUGUCACCAAUAAUAAGAGUGAUAAUGGUACAAAGGUUUUAUGGAAGACCAUCCUUGGUUUGGGGAGAUCCAUGCUGAAAUAUUUAGAGGUAAAGUGUCAUGAUGUCUACACCUUACUUUAAAAUUCACCAUAUAUAUGCCAUGUGUAUAUAUAUAUAUACACAUACAUGUUAUAUAAUGUGCAUAUAUGUGUGUGUAUCUCUCUAUGUGUAGUCUCAUAUAUGCACGAGAGACAUAUAUAUGUAUAUGUGUGAUAUACACACACAUAUAUGUAUGUCUCUCUUUCUCACUUUUUCUCUCUCUAGAUAUCUUUCCCUAUCUCUCUCUCUCUAUAAAUCUAUUAUACAUGUUAUAUAGAUAAAGAUAUUUAUAGAGAGUGUACAAAUGGGGCAAAAUAUUAGCAAUCAGUGAAUAUAAGUGAAGAGUAUAUGAGUUUUUAUGCUACUACUCUUCCAGAUUUUUCAAAAUAAAAUGUUUACUGUGUAAAUAAUUCAAAGUACUAUACCCAGCACCGUGGCAGCUGCCACAUCUAUGCUCGUUUUGUGUUGAUGACCUUUUCCUCUAUUAGGCUUGUUCACUUUUCCUCAAUCAUGAUAGGCCCUCAUUAUGGUUAUUUAAAUAUACCUUGGGUCUAGUUACAUUGCCCUAAGAAAAAAGUAGUUUCUGAAAAGACAUAAAGCACAAAAAGGGCAGAGUGUGGUAAAAAUGCCAGGAGUGGCAGUAAUUGGCUGCUCCACAAGGUUGUUCUGUUCUCCAAAAGGGACAUCCCAUGCUGUUGCAUGUUAAAUAUUUUACAGAAUUAAGAGGAAGAAAUCAGUAGUUUGAAAAAAAAAACAAUAUCCAGAAUAUUAACCUUUCUCAAUCAAUACCAAAAUAGAGCAAAUGUUUUAUCUGAGUGCUGAUUUAGUAACGCAAAAUCAAGAUUAUUUUUUCUUAGUGCUUUUCUCCCCAAGGUAAUAGGUUUUAGCACCUGUGGAAAUGAUGAACAUUUAUUUGGAAGUUGCCUGAGGGGUCUGAAUUGUGUGCACAGUUAAUUAUACACCAUUAAAGAUAUUUCUGCCAAACCAGCUGCUCAACUUAACUAGUGGCCAGUGUGUGUCUUGAUUUUUAGGAUGAAGACUCCAGAAUUCCAGGAUAUUUUUUUCUUUUGCUGUGCCUACUUCAUAUCCUUAAAGCUGGAAUGGAUAUAGGAAAGAGACAAGAGGAAUAUACUCAGUCUGGGUCCCCUUUGGGUCAUGAUUCUCUUGAAUUCCACUUCUUCUGUUGGUGACUUUGUAAAUGAAUCCUUUUCUUAAUUCUAUUAAUCCUCAAAGCUCUCCUGGUGGAGAGAAGGGAAAAGCAAAUUAUUUAUCAAACCAACUUGUGAGGUGAGAAAACAGGGGGACUUAUGGGGAAAUUAUUUUCUAAACCAUGCAAUAGAAACUCAUCUGGCUUUCUUUUACCCCAUGUAUAUAAAGGAUUAUGUGAAAUAUAGGGAGAUGUGAAGAAGAAAAGAGUUUAGGACAUAGUUUCUGGUAACUAAAUAAUAGUAUUAACAACAACAGCAAUAUAAGAUAGUGUAUGUAUGUGAAAUUGCUAUGCAAACUGCAAACUUCUGCCCAAAUGCAAGUUACUAUUAUUUUAUUCAUCAUAGUUAUUAUUAUCAUCAUCAUCAUCAUCUUCAUUGUCGUCUAUGUUAUAAUGGUGGAGUUCUCAGGAAUUGUGAAGGAAGAAGAAAAAUGAUUUACUGUUUGGAAAAACUAAUUAUAAGCAAGUUUUGAGUGAAAGCUGACAUACUAAAGGUUUUUAAAGACCUAGUUGGGCAGGGAGCCAGGCAGGUGUAUUCAAAUGGAAGAUGCAGUAGGAGUGAUGGGGUGUGAGAGGGAGGAUGGCACCUGAAACUCUCUGAUGGCAGCAGAAUGGGACAGUAAUAGGAAUUUGGCAGUCAGGGUGGGAAGAAAAUGUGGGAGGAUGGGAGGUCCAGUAGCUGGAAGACAAUAAAGCCCAUAGUCUUAGAUUUUAACGGAAUUCAGGAAGCCGUAAAGAGCAACUAGGAUUCUAAGAAAAGAAAUAGCAUGACAAAGUGAUGCUUGGGAAGAUAAAGUCUUCUCAAGAUUUUCAAUAGAUUGUGGACAAUCAAAAGCAGAAGAGGAAGGAGGUUUUUAAGAUAGAGCAGAUUCAGGGAAAUAAAGAUCUUGCUUUGAUCAGCGAUGCUAAGACUGAGACAAUGGAUGUCUUGAGAGCACAGCUGGGCAUAUGCUCAAGAAGUAAAGCUUUGUUAGACAUUAGGUGUGUGGGAACAAAAGAAAGCUAAAAGAAGGCUUUGGAUCUAAAGUCAGAAAAGACUCUGAGAGCCUGGAAAGAAAGACAGACCUAUGUGAGACUCAUAUAUGUUGGAUGAGACUGGAAACCAGAUUAGGAUUAAAAACCGAUGCUUUUAGGAUUUUGUCACUCCCAGUCAUCAUCGGAAAACUGCUGAUCACUGGCUUCUGCUCUCUAGUUCUCUUUCUCCCAAGUUGCUCUGAAAGAACCUUCUGUCCAUCAGAGCUGCAGGGCCCCCAGUGACCUGCUUGCAGGCUCCCUUUAUGGUGUGGGGACAAAGGCAGUGCCAGGGCAGGGACUGUCAGCUUGCUGAGGCAUGCGUUUUAGGUACUACUGUUGUUUAGUUUCAGAGCACUUCAAAUAACAAGUGAUUUUAAAAAUGCCUCAUUGAUGUAACCUCUGUAUUACUGGCUCUUGCCCUCUCCUUGCAAAGAAAGAAUUGACUCCCCUGCAAGGUUCUGUCUCAAUUCAUAUGUGCUGUGUGGCACAGCCAUGUGCAUUUGUACACAGGGAGGAUGCGUGGGAUGCUGUAACUAUCUGGAACUGCCGUCCCUCUAUGGGGCUCCCAUUCUCAACACAGCUUCUCAUAGUUUUCUCUCCUGGCUGCACAAUGUUGUGGGAAGAAAGAAAUUUUAGAGUCCUUUUAAAAAAUUUAUCUUUUUAGUAUAUUCUGCUGGCAGGUUACCUAAACAGGACUCCUUAUACCAUCAUAUCAUAAAUUCAUCAUGAAAGUCAUUUAGUGUUUUACAUCAGUCCAAAGGCCUGGACUGGAGGACAAAUCUGGACAACAUACAACACCCACUGUAAUUAUAUAGACUCUUUGGAAAUAGAAAGAUGCUAUAUUUAUUUAGCAAUGCUUAUAUAGUUCUUGCUAUGUGCCAUGCCCUGUUCUAAGUGCUUUAUUUAAUUCUUUUAACAGCCCUAUGAGGUUGAUAUAACUAUUGUGAUCCUCCUUUUGAUUUUCAGAUGUGGAAACUGAGGCACAGAGAAACCAGAUAGGACGCUCACCCUCCCAGUAAGCUCGUGGCUGAACUUGAACCUAGAAUGAGCCUUCCUGACAAAAGUCCAAGAGGCAGCUUAACGGAGAACGUGGAGUGUUCCACUGCAUGAGGGUUUCGAGGCAACAUCAAUUUGGCCGUGAUACGUUUCCAUGGUUUCUACACUUAUCACUCUCUAUCUUGGUAAUGAGCACCAAUAAAAUAUGACCCGACUGGAUUAUAGCAAGAGAAGAAUCUGAAGAACACUCCUUUUAUAGUUUCUUCUCUUGUGAAACACUUGACUGACUCCUGCGAAGGCUAUCCUAAAUUUCGCUGGACGGUGCAGUCUGAGGUCAUCGGCUUUCCUUAUUUCAGGAGGGUUCCAUGCCGCAAUCAGAUCAAUAUUGUGUGCCUUGCCUGUGUUAUUAGGAGAAAGAGAUUUCUGCCUAGGAACUGGAGUGAGAAAAAUAAUGCUAGAGAGCAUCAUAAACAGGAAAAUACCCAGUGCUGCCAAUGUCUAUGAAAUAUGCAAAAAUCUGCAUCUCUUAUGGAUAAGUAACAGAUGGAGCUAUCAGAUAAUAGGAAAAAGAAAAAGAUAAAUUGUAAUAUAAUUGACCCUCCAGAGCUGUUUGGAGAAUAGACACACUGCACUCAACUUUCAGCUUGUUAGGGCUGGGUUAGGUGAUGGAAUGACGGGAGCAGUUUCUCAUAGUGUGAUGUUUUAAAGAUCACUCAGUCACACUUAGGUCCUUUGUGGAAGAUUCAACUUCUAGUUAUGUUUUCUGUGCCAUGUGGGCAGCCCUUUCAUUGAAGGAAUUCCCAGCUGUAUUGCCUUUUAAUAAAAAGAUGCACCAGGAUUGGGAAGAAAAGGCUUGCUCCCUGCAUGUUGAGCUGCACACGCCCCUCCUCCACCGCAGCCCUCUCCCUCUCUGCUCUCCAGCCCCUGGCUUCACUAGCAGCUGCCUCUCAGCCUCCCUUGUUGGGAAAGAGUGCUUACUAAUGGGCCUUCUGGCACCUAUCCUGGUGAGUGAAAGUGGCAUACAGGACCUUGUACUUCAAGCGUUUGGCAGAGCAAUACAACCGGAAAGCCGAGAGCCCCUGCAGUGCUGGGGCAGCGCUGCUGACAACAGGCACCCUUGCUGCUGGGGCCUUGACUGCUGCUGACGCCUGAGUCAGGCACGGAGCAUCCCUGGCAGAAGGUCAGAGGGACCUGUUUUCCCUGAGCACUGAGAAACCCCCUCUAGCAACCACUGAUGACAGCUGGUGAAAAGCAAGUUUCUUUUCUUUUUUAAUAAAAUUGAGAAAAAGAGAGAGAAAAGAAAUUUAAGUUCAAGGCUAACUGAACAGAGGUUGCACAGUGACCGUGAAAACUCCUAUCCAUUUUCAUGUUCAGAGACAUCUUGGAGAUCACAGGUUGAGAGUGCAGAAUAGAAAAACCACCUUGUUUUGAAAUCCUCAAAUGUUUACGUCCAGGGAGAAAGCUCUGGCCAUGGCCAAGCAUGGUGUGCCGAGCGGUGCCACGUCCAUACCCAGGAUCCGAACUGGCGAAUCCCGGGCCGGUGAGAAGCGGAACAUGCGAACUUAAACACUGUGCCACCGGGUGGCCCCUACAAAGUUGUCGGUGACAUGAAUCUCGGCUCCAUUCUACACGGAGUAUUUCUGAGCUAAUUCUCACAGCCCCUACAUUUCAAGAGAUGAACAUACACACCAGAAGGACAUUACAGGAAAAUUGGAUUGCUCGACUGUGAGUGAGAUAUGGAAAGGCCUUUUCCCCACCAAGCAGCAGACGAAAUUGUAACAGCCAGAUCACUGCGAGGGCCCCGCCCACCUUGCCAAUCUCCAAGCUUUCAAAGGUCUCUGUCCAGCGGUGGAUCAAACACCUAGUAAUGCAUCCUGGGAGCAGAGAGGCUCCAGUCUCUUUCACAUUCAGUUAAAAUAAGGAGGGAUGGCAUCUAUGAAGAUGCGCACACCCAAUGAUGUGCAUAUGCACCACAAGAUGACAUGUGCACACCGGUGUGCACAGACCAGCAGGUCGGGGGACUCUCCAUGGCUAUCGUCUUCCUCGUAUGACUGGGAGACCCAAGCUGCUUGGAUCGUAUGGCUGUGACAUUUCAAUACCUGGUCUCCACAUUUACUGCCAACAAGAAAGCAAGGGAUGUGAAAUCACAAAGGGAGUGUUUAAUCCUCCAGCAUGGAAGUAACACACGCAUCACAUCGACUCACAUUCAUUUGUCACAACCUGCCAUAAAGCCCUUUUUACCUGCCUGAAGGCUGGGAAGUAUCAUCUUCUGUAUGUGUAGACAGGAGAGGAGAAUCAGCUACUGGCGGGCACUAAUGAGAUCUAUCACACAUACUUUAAUAAAAAUAAUUUUUAGGGAUAUCUAAUAUAAAUUAUAUGUUGUAACCAUGAUAGAAAAAAUAUUGGCUAAUGUUUGUCAUAAAUUAACGGUGGAUGAAAUCUAUUUAAGUAAGAUAAAGAAUUUAUCUAACAUAAGAAAAAAAGAGGCAACUUUAAUUACAAAAUGUUAAAAUGUUUGUUGAUUAAGGAAAACCAUAAACAAAGUCAAAUCUAAGCAAAUCAAAAUGUAAGUAACAAAAUGUUAAUCUCCCUAAUGUACAAAUAAGCUCCAAUAAAUGGAAUGGAAAAAACCCAGAACAAUGGAAAAAAGGCACGUGCAUAAUAUUUACAGAAGUGGUAAUUAAACUGAUAAUGAUGCUUAUACUGACUAGUAAUUAGUGAAACAUUUUACCCAUCAGAGCUACAGAAUUGUUCAGAUUGAUAAUUUACAGUUCCAAUGAAGUUAUGGGGAAAUAGAUGUUAGUUUCACACACUAUUGGAGGGAAUGUAAAUUACACUAAUCUUGUGGAAAGUAAUUUGAAGUGAUAUAUUCAAAUUUUAUAUAUGUCAGUCCUAUAACUCAGCAAUUCCAUGUCAGGGAAUCUACACAAAAAAAUACUUGUAUAGAGCCUGAAGCAUGUAAGUUCAAGAAUGCUCAUUUCAAUAUUGUCUGUAAUAGUACAAAAUAAGUGCCAACCUAAAUACCCAUUAAUAAGGGACUGGUUAAACAAUUCAUAGUUUAUCCAUUGCAUGCAAUUCUAUAUGCCUCCAAAACUAUAGACUUACUCCCCAAAAUGAUUGUUCAGUUACUAUCUUUUUGCCAUAAUGCCAUUUGAAAAUUUAUACCACUUUUCGGUGACUUUCAUUUUAUUUUUUUAGUAGCAGUGCUUUCACCUAAAAACCUACAAAAUAGGGGGCCGGCCCCGUGACCGAGGGGUUAAGUUCUUGCGCUCUGCCUUUGGCGGCCCAGGGUUUUGCUUGUUCGGAUCCUGUGCGUGACCAUGGCACCAGUCAUCAGGCCACGUUGAUGCGGUGUCCCACAUGCCGCAACUAGGAGCCACAACUAAAAAUAUACAACUAUGUACUGGGGGAAUUGGGGGAGAAAAAGCAGAGGAAAAAAAAAAGAAGAAGAUUGGCAACAGUUGUUAGCUCAUGUGCCAAUCUUUAAAAAAGAGAAAAAAUAAAUAAAUAAAAUAAAAAUAAAAACCUACGAAAUAAAUAUGACCUAAAAAACUAUAUUUUGACUUUAUUAUUUUAGACAAGGGCACACUCAAAAUUUACUCAAUACAAAAAUUUCUAUGCAGAGACGAUAUGUGGGACAGAUUUCAAUUGCUGUCAGAUUUGUCUUCCUUUGUAUGGGCACACAGAACACGAGGGAUAAAGAAGCAGCAACUUCUAUGACUCUGGUCUUUUAUGCACAUGUACUCCUAUUUGUAAAUGUUUUGACCCACUCUUGUGUUUAGUCUUUAUUUUCAAGUGUACUUUGAAUUAAAGUUAACUGUGAGCCCCCAAAUAGCUCAAAAACUGAUAAGUAAGUGUUGUUGUAGAAAGAAAAGUUAGGAAAAUUUUAAUCGUGGAGCAAAGGAUGAGUGAAAUAAAAGAGGAUGGAAGCAGGAGACAGAAGUAAAGAUUCUGCAGUCUUUUAGGAUAGUUCACUCUGCUUAAUACGCGAUCUUGAAUGCCUGGCUGAAGGUCGGUUACCUGAUCUCCCCUAGUCCUCCUUAGAACACCUCCCUCGCACCUCUGCUCCACCUGCCCAUUCACUGUCUGCCCCGCCUUAGUGAGUACACUGAACUUUCAUGAUGUUAUUGCAUUGACUUCCUUCAUAAAAAGCUGAUUUUGUUUUCCCUCAAAUUGUUUCUUAUUGCUUAUGUAAACUUGGUUUUAUUGUCAAUCAAUCGGUUUUUCUUCGUGAAAAUUGUUUUGGCGUCUUAGGUUGGCAGGAAGGAAAACAUAGGCCAGAAAGGAAAUCCUUGAAAGGAAUCAUAAUUUUUCCCAUUAAAAUUGAUAUAAAUAUUGCUUUUCAAUUUAAACGACUUUAUAGCUAGUGGCAUAGUUUGAGUUGUGAAUUAAAUUUGUUAAGCAGGCCAUGAGCAUAUUAAAGAAAUUUGUGCAUAAGGCUGUGCAAGGUUAUCUGUGAUUGGUAAGUGGAAAAAGAAAGUUGCUGAAUAUUAUAUGUUAUGAACUCAUUUUUGUAAAAAUGAUCUGGAAUGACAUUAUUAAUAGUGAUUAUGCCUGGGCUUCUAGAAUGCUAGUUAUUAGUUAUGAGAGAUCUGAGACACAGUGCUAAGGAUCCCAGCUCUAUAACUUGUUCACUGUAAAACUUUGGCCAACAUAGCUCUCCUCAAAAGCUUCACUUUUUUGUAACCUGAAUAUCACAGAUCAUAAUUAUUCUACCUCACAGGGUGGUUGUGAUGAUUCAAUGAGGUAAUCAACUGCCAGACACAGUAGGUGGGCUACACAUUGUAGCCAUUGUUAUUAUUUUAUGUACAUCUGUAUUGUUCAUUUAUUUUAAAAUGAACACGUCUUAACUUUGUAAAAAGAUUAAAAUAGAUCUAUAAGUUGUGUUGAGCUUUUAUUUAUUUAUUUAUUUUGAGGAAGAUUAGCCCUGAGCUAACUACUGCCAGUCCUCCUCUUUUUGCUGAGGAAGCCUGGCCCUGAGCUAACGUCGUGCCCAUCAUCCUCCACUUUAUAUGUGGGACGCCUACAACAGCAUGGCGUGCCAAGCGGUGCCAUGUCCACACCCAGGAUCCGAACCAGUGAACCCCGGGCCGAGGAGAAGCGGAACGUGCAAACUGAACUGCUGCGCCCCCGGGCCGGCCCCUGGGCUGAGCUUUUAGAAUAGGUUUUCCUAUAUCACAAAUGACUCCUCUUUCCUGAAGAAUUUGAAUAAAUGUGUAAAUUUGGAUAAAUUUGAAUAAAUGCUUAUCUGAACCAACCGUCGAUUCCUGGGUCUAGUGUUUGCUCUGUUUCCACACUCCUGCUACAGCCUGAUGGAGAUGCUUCUCUAGUUCUUGACUCCCAGGUAAGGUCUUUUCAUUUUGAGUACCAUAAUUUUAAAUGACAAAUGAAAUACGAGUUUUCUUCACAUAAUGUAUAAAUGCAUACCGAUUAAUACCAUUUAUUAAUUCUUGCUUCUGUCUCAUGUGGCUUUUUGUUUUCAUGUUUUGAGGGGAGAAGAGACUUGGCUAUGAGAACACCUUAAUGUGGAAACCCUGAGUUCGUGGUUUCCACUCACCUGUUUGCCAGCGAGGCUGAUAAAUGGUGCUGGGUAAGGAAGCUGGGAGCUUCUGGAAAUGUGACAGAAACCCUCUGUCCACCACCACACCAGAGACACGGGGCCCUUAGAGGUAAAUUCAUGAGGUUAAGGGCAAGCAAAAC